UAAUGGUGCUGAAGGGGACUACAGCAUCCCCGAACCUAUGGUAACCAAACCGCUCAGCCGCCGCCCUUUCCUCAAUUUGGGCGAAUGUCUGUUUCUUUUUACGGGAAUGGAAAAAUAAUAUGAAAAUAUUUGCAUAUCUUUGCCACGAUUCCUGCUCCGACUCCAUCCGUCAAAGUAAUAUAUAUUUUUAUUUCUUAUGUUUUGUAUUAUUUAAUAUAUAUAUUGUAUGAUUUACUAAUAAUAAAUCUCAAAUAUAUAAGAACAUAAAUAACUAGAGUUUUUCCUUACUAAAUGAAAGUUAUUGAUUUUUUAUUAUUUAAUUUUUUUUGUUUAUAUUUGAAAGUAAAUAAUUUGUAGUUGAUAAG
rnacentral:lncRNA from 1 species